UGGGGAAUCUUGCGCAAUGGGCGAAAGCCUGACGCAGCCAUGCCGCGUGAGUGAUGAAGGCCUUAGGGUUGUAAAACUCUUUCACCGGGGACGAUAAUGACGGUACCCGGAGAAGAAGCCCCGGCUAACUUCGUGCCAGCAGCCGCGGUAAUACGAAGGGGGCUAGCGUUGCUCGGAAUUACUGGGCGUAAAGGGCGCGUAGGCGGAUCAGCAAGUUGGGGGUGAAAGCCCGGGGCUCAACCUCGGAAUUGCCUUCAAAACUGCUGAUCUAGAGUACGGGAGAGGUGUGUGGAACUCCGAGUGUAGAGGUGAAAUUCGUAGAUAUUCGGAAGAACACCAGUGGCGAAGGCGACACACUGGCCCGUUACUGACGCUGGGGCGCGAAAGCGUGGGGAGCAAACAGGAUUAGAUACCCAGGUAGUCCACGCUGUAAACGAUGAUUGCUAGUUGUCGGCAGGCAUGCCUGUCGGUGACGCAGCUAACGCAUUAAGCAAUCCGCCUGGGGAGUACGGUCGCAAGAUUAAAAACUCAAAGGAAUUGACGGGGUCAAUAGCUGUUUCC
rnacentral:rRNA from 1 species